GAUGCUUCAUCCUCAAAUUCAAGGCGAGUCGUGUACAUAUAAAUAAUAUGUUUUCAUUCCUUUAUUUCAACCAUCCCAUAUUGAUAUUAUACUUUGGAAUAACAUCCACUUUUUUAAAACAAUGCCACUUGUUUUAGCUAAAUAUGUAAUAUUAAUAUGGAACUAGUAAGUAACUCUUGUAAUUAAGUACAUGUGUAUAGAAGACAGCAGCUUAGGCUCCCAUUACAAUUACUAACUAAUAUGCUAACAUUACAAUUACUAACUAAACCUUCCGUCUUGAUAUCACCCUCAAUUGAGAAAGCAAUUCGUUAGAUGGCAUACCUCUCUUAUUUCAUUAACCUCAAAGUUCAAAACUUCGCUGAAUUGCGUGUCCCCAAAAGCAAUCUCUGUAAAAAAUCUCUGUAAAAAAAAAUAAAAAAAUGAAGAUAUCCAGAAAAGUGAAAACCAACAAAUUGAGCAAAUCAUGAAGGCAACCACACCCUAAAAGAAGAACACAAUAAAGGAUAUAUCAACCACACCCUCUUAUCCCAUGAAGCUUUGCCCAUGGUUUUGCCCAUGGUUGAUCAAUUACUUGUCCUGCCUCAAACAACUUCGUUAUGAGAGGGAUAAUAAAGGUUAUAAUUCACAACAAGUGAAAUAGUAGGAGAUAAUUGUUUGUAUGGUGUAUUAAUGACUUUGAACAUAGUUAAAUUCUAAUGUAGGUUUAACGACUUACAAACAGAAACAGAAACAGGAAGAUUGUUGUCUAAAAAAAAUUACUUCUAGCAUACAUGCAUUUCUUUUAUUUUUAAUAGAAAAUCACAUCAUUGACAAAAUUUUAAUGUAUUUCUUUUUUAUAAAAAAAGAAAUAAUACCUCACAAUUAAUCAAGGAAAUCACAGUUGAUGCAAAAAUGACAAGGGAGUCAACAUCCGGAAACACUUCUGGAAGAUAAGAUUUGUUCUGAAAUUGCAUUGCGUGGACAAGUUUGGUGGCCUAUAGAUCAUCAUGGAGGGGACAGCACAGGCACGCCAAGCUUGGACGUGAGAUCAACAGAGGUUAUACAGAGCCCCUAGUAAAUCGAACGAAUGAAUUAAUAUAAGAAGAAGAAAUAACAUUGGUAAAUAAUAUAAUGGUGAUGAAGAAGAAAUGUUCUUACAAAAAGCAAGUGAAAGAGAGGCUGGGCUUCGAUUGAGAGUGAGAGAGAACGAGAGAACGCGGCUUUAAUCUCGGGUUUGAGAGAAUGGAGGCUUCGAGAGAGUGAGAGAGAAAGAGUGGUGGUGAGGAACUGAGGAUUGGUGGAUAUUUAGAUUUUAGGGUCCUUGGUUGUGUAUAGC
rnacentral:lncRNA from 1 species